rnacentral:rRNA from 1 species
GACGAACGCUGGCGGCGUGCCUAAUACAUGCAAGUCGAGCGGACUUUCAAGAAGCUUGCUUUUUGAAAGUUAGCGGCGGACGGGUGAGUAACACGUGGGCAACCUGCCUGCAAGACGGGGAUAACUCCGGGAAACCGGGGCUAAUACCGGAUAAUAUCUUCCUUCGCAUGAAGGAAGGUUGAAAGGCGGCGCAAGCUGCCGCUUGCAGAUGGGCCCGCGGCGCAUUAGCUAGUUGGUGAGGUAACGGCUCACCAAGGCGACGAUGCGUAGCCGACCUGAGAGGGUGAUCGGCCACACUGGGACUGAGACACGGCCCAGACUCCUCCGGGAGGCAGCAGUAGGGAAUCUUCCGCAAUGGACGCAAGUCUGACGGAGCAACGCCGCGUGAGCGAAGAAGGUCUUCGGAUCGUAAAGCUCUGUUGUCAGGGAAGAACAAGUACCGUUCGAACAGGGCGGUACCUUGACGGUACCUGACCAGAAAGCCACGGCUAACUACGUG